GGGGGGGAACUGCGGAAGGAUCAUUA
rnacentral:rRNA from 1 species